rnacentral:rRNA from 1 species
UACGGGGGGGGGCAAGCGUUUGUUCGGAAUUACUGGGCGUAAAGGGCUCGUAGGCGGCCAACUAAGUCAGACGUGAAAUCCCUCGGCUUAACCGGGGAACUGCGUCUGAUACUGGAUGGCUUGAGGUUGGGAGAGGGAUGCGGAAUUCCAGGUGUAGCGGUGAAAUGCGUAGAUAUCUGGAGGAACACCGGUGGCGAAGGCGGCAUCCUGGACCAAAUCUGACGCUGAGGAGCGAAAGCCAGGGGAGCAAAGCGGG